rnacentral:rRNA from 1 species
UACGGGGGGGGCAAGCGUUGUUCGGAAUUACUGGGCGUAAAGGGCUUGUAGGCGGCCAACUAAGUCAGACGUGAAAUCCCUCGGCUUAACCGGGGAACUGCGUCUGGUACUGGAUGGCUUGAAUCCGGGAGAGGGAUGCGGAAUUCCAGGUGUAGCGGUGAAAUGCGUAGAUAUCUGGAGGAACACCGGUGGCGAAGGCGGCAUCCUGGACCGGCAUUGACGCUGAAAAGCGAAAGCCAGGGGAGCAAACGGG